UACGUAGGGGGCAAGCGUUGUCCGGAUUCAUUGGGCGUAAAGCGCGCGUAGGCGGCCUGUCGCGUCAGAGGUGAAAGGUGUGGGCUCAACCCGCACACUGCUUCUGAUACGGGCAGGCUCGAGGCCGGAAGAGGAGAGUGGAAUGCCCUGUGUAGCGGUGGAAUGCGUAGAGAUCCCCAAGAACACCAGUUGCGAAGGCGGCCGACUGGACACAUAUUGACGCUGAGGCUCGAAAGCAUGGGGAGCAAACAGG
rnacentral:rRNA from 1 species